GAAUUAAUUAAUUAAUUUAUUAGUCAAUUUAUUCAUUUAAUUAAUUAUUUAUUCUAACUGUCGGCAAAUUUGCUGGCAUAGUACCGUGACUAAAAUAACACUUUUCAUGCAUGUAAGGGAAUGUGGUACUCAAGGCAAAGUUAAAAAGAGUAUAUUGACAAAUUUAAUUACUCCACUGUUUUUUACAUCGCUAAAAGAAUUUUCGUACAUUUGAACAGCCAACAAGUCAUACGAUUCUAUUAUUCUAAAAAUCAACAUCGAAUACGAUAACGCAUUCGAACAAAUGAAAUAACACGUUUUUGUCUGUCUUGAUAUGAAUUUUCAUGUUGUUACAAAUUUUAACUCGAAAGCACAUCCUAGGGGAAUAUGUCUCUUUUUCGCUUGCCAACACAUGUACGAGGAAGGAGAAGUUAACAAAAAAGAGAUCCAAAAAAAAAAAAAAAAAAAAGCACCCCCGAUACAUGCAAAAUUCAAAUGCCCUUAACCCCUAGUCCAACAGUGUUUGGUUCCGAUUGUUAUAGUAUAAUCUAUUAUGUGCUGCGAUAUAAGGUUUUCUCUAUCAGUACUUGUUGAAUGGAUUAGUUAAUUGAAAAUCUAUCGCCCACCUUCGAGACAGACCUGUUAUCCACAUGAAUGUCUCGCCUUUUCUCUCUGUAUACUCCGUGGAACAGGAACAGGAAUAAACGAGAAACGAGAAACGAGGUUAGCAAGUACCCACUAGUAAGAUAGAUAAGUGAAAGACCGAGUUAAAAAGGUUGACCAUGUUUUUGAUAGACGAUCAAAUUGAGUGUUAGGUUGCAAGAAGGAGUAAACAUGGUUGAAUGCAAAAAUACAAAUCAUCCGAGAGGAGAGUAAGCAGGAGGAAAAACAAGUAAUGAAAAAAACAAGCAAACGAAUAGAUAAACAAAACAGAAUACUAUUACUAAUUAGUCUUCGUUAUACCAAUCUUGUGAUGUCAAAAUGCAAAAAACUGCAUUGCAACCAUCAUAAAAAAUAAUUUAUUUAUUUAUUUAACUAUAUAAAUAUAUGAAUUUAAAUAUAAAUAAAUAAAUAUAUUAUUUUUAUUUAACAAAAAUC